GUGCACCAGUCGAGAAUUUUUCUCAAUGGGGGAAACCCUGAAGGAGCGACGCCGCGUGGAGGAUGAAGGCUUUCGGGUUGUAAACUCCUGUCAUUUGGGAACAAGGUGCACACGUUAACUGCGUGGGUAUUGAUAGUACCAGAAGAGGAAGGGACGGCUAACUCUGUGCCAGCAGCCGCGGUAAUACAGAGGUCCCAAGCGUUGUUCGGAUUCAUUGGGCGUUAAAGGGUGCGUAGGUGGCGCUGUAAGUCGGGUGUGAAAUUUCGAGGCUUAACCUCGAAACUGCAUUCGAUACUGCGGUGCUUGAGGACUGGAGAGGAGACUGGAAUUCAUGGUGUAGCAGUGAAAUGCGUAGAGAUCAUGAGGAGACCAGUGGCGAAGGCGGGUCUCUGGACAGUUCCUGACACUGAGGCACGAAGGCCAGGGGAGCAAACGGGAUUA
rnacentral:rRNA from 1 species